UACGAAGGGGGCUAGCGUUGCUCGGAAUGACUGGGCGUAAAGGGCGCGUAGGCGGCUUGCACCGUCAGAUGUGAAAUUCCUGGGCUUAACCUGGGGGCUGCAUUUGAUACGUGUGGGCUUGAGUGCGGAAGAGGGUCGUGGAAUUCCCAGUGUAGAGGUGAAAUUCGUAGAUAUUGGGAAGAACACCGGUGGCGAAGGCGGCUAACUGGUCCGAUACUGACGCUGAGGUGCGAAAGCGUGGGGAGCAAACAGG
rnacentral:rRNA from 1 species